CACACAACAUAUUGGAAAAGCUCAGUAGGCCAAGCUGCAUCUAUGGGGAAAAAGUUACAGUUGAUGUUCGGGUGGAAUCCUGUCCAAGGGUUGACUGUACCUUUUUUCCAUAGAUGCUGCCUUGCCUGCUGAGUUCCUCCAGCAUUUUGUGUGUGUUGUUCAGAUUUCCAGUAUCUGCAGAUUUUCUCUUGUUUGUGGCACUAAAAUGGUCUUCAUUUUGUUCUAAUAAUGUUCUUUCAUGUACAAAUAUAUUUAUGUUUGUUUUAGUUGUGAAUGCUGCUUAUCUGAUGCUGUGUGUCUGUGUUGCUGCUAAAAUUAGUUUUUUCAAGGCAACUGUACACAAGACUAUAGCAAACUGUGAGAUUUUUUUAAAUUAAAUGUCAAAUUCCUUUCUUUUGGUCACCUGUUCUUAAAAUGUAACACACACAAAACACUGGAGGAACUCAGCAGGUCAGGCAGCAUCUAUGGAAAUGAGCAAACAGUCAACCUUUUGAGCCAAGACCCAUCUUCAGUACUGGAAAGGAAGAGAAGCGGUUUGCCAUUGCCUUCUCCUGGGAAGUGUCUUUGCAAGAUGGGUGACUGCAGCCAUUGUCAAUACUCUUCAGAGGUCAGGUAUACUCAACAAAUCUCCAGAAUUAUAACCAUAACAGAAUCAAUGAAAGACUGCGCAACCAAAGUACAAAAAGACAAAAAAACUAUGCAAAUACAAAAAGAAAGGAAUAAUAAUAAUAAUAAUAAUAAUAAGUGAAUAAGUAAACAGUAAAUAUGGAGAAUGCAAGGUGAAGAGCUCUUCAAGUCGAUUGUUGUUAAUGUGGUUAAUCUACUGUAAAUCUGAAUAUACAUUAUGACAUUCUGAAAGAUGGCUGUGGAAUGAAACAAGAAAAUAUAGAAUAUAGCUCCUGCAUGUUACUCAGAAUAAAUUAAUGCAAUAAAAACACAAGUCUCAAUGAUAUGUUAAACUUCCAGCUUUUAAUGUAUAGAAUAUGACCAUGUAAAAU